GGGUGAGUAACACGUAGGUAAUCUACCUUUGGAUGGGGAAUAACAACCGGAAACGGUUGCUAAUACCGCAUAAUGCAGCGGCACCUAAUGGUGACAGUUGUUAAAGCGGGGGAUCGCAAGACCUCGCGUCUGAAGAGGAGCCUGCGGCGGAUUAGCUAGUUGGUAAGGUAAUGGCUUACCAAGGCGACGAUCCGUAGCCGGCCUGAGAGGGCGGUCGGCCACACUGACACUGACAUACGGGUCAGACUCCUACGGGAGGCAGCAGUCGGGAAUUUUGGGCAAUGGGCGAAAGCCUGACCCAGCAACGCCGCGUGAAGGAUGAAAUCCCUCGGGAUGUAAACUUCGCAAGAACGGGAAGAAUAAGUUUGUGCUAACACCACAGGCGAUGACGGUACCGUUUGUAAGCUCCGGCUAACUCCGUGCCAGCAGCCGCGGUAAUACGGGGGGAGCAAGCGUUGUUCGGAUUUACUGGGCGUAAAGGGCGCGUAGGCGGCCACCGCAAGUCAAUUGUGAAAUCUCCGGGCUUAACUCGGAAAGGUCAACUGAUACUGCGGGGCUAGAGUGCAGAAGGGGCAACUGGAAUUCUCGGUGUAGCGGUGAAAUGCGUAGAUAUCGAGAGGAACACCUGCGGCGAAGGCGGGUUGCUGGGCUGACACUGACGCUGAGGCGCGAAAGCUAGGGGAGCGAACGGGAUUAGAUACCCCGGUAGUCCUAGCCUUAAACGAUGAAUGCUUGGUGUCUGGGGUUAUAUAGUCCCCGGGUGCCGUCGCUAACGCUUUAAGCAUUCCGCCUGGGGAGUACGGUCGCAAGACUGAAACUCAAAGGAAUUGACGGGGACCCGCACAAGCGGUGGAGCAUGUGGUUUAAUUCGACGCAACGCGAAGAA
rnacentral:rRNA from 1 species